UUAGUGGCGGACGGGUGAGUAACGCGUGGGUAACCUGGCCCAUACCGGGGGAUACCACCUGGAAACAGGUGCUAAUACCGCAUAAGCGCACGGGAGCGCAUGCUCCUGUGUGAAAAACUCCGGUGGUAUGGGAUGGACCCGCGUCUGAUUAGCCAGUUGGCAGGGUAACGGCCUACCAAAGCGACGAUCAGUAGCCGGCCUGAGAGGGUGGACGGCCACAUUGGGACUGAGACACGGCCCAAACUCCUACGGAAGGCAGCAG
rnacentral:rRNA from 1 species